rnacentral:lncRNA from 1 species
AUGGGUUUUGUCCCAGUGAGCAAAGCACACGGUUCUGCCCCAAAAUGGGAUGGUAAGGCUGACAUUGCUGAGAGGCGGCGUGGGAAAGGGAGAAAUAAGGGCAAAAAGGCCAAAAAAAAUAAGGAAAAAAGUGGGUUUUUUUGGAAAGGUAGGGAAAAGGGGGAAAAAAAAGUGAAAAAAGUGGUGAAAAGUGAGAAAAGUGACCAAAAAAGGACAGAAAAGUCCAAAAAAGGGACGGAAGUGACCAAAAAAAGGGACAAAAAUGACCCAAAAAGAAGUGAGAAAAAUGUCCCCCCCCCCCCAAACAGUGAGGAAAAUGACCCAAAGAUGUGAGAAAAAAUGACCCCCAAAAAAGGGACAAAAUUAAGAAGAAAAAGUGAGAAAAAUGUCCCAAAAAUUGAGAAAAAUGACCCCCAAAAAAGGGACAGAAAGGUCCAAAAAAGUGACAGAAGUGGCCAAAAAAAUGAGGGAAAUGACCAAAAAAAAAAGCGAGAAAAAUGUGUGCCCCCCCCCCCCACAAAUAGUGAGAAAAAAGACCCAAAAAAGUGAGAAAAAUGACCAAAAAAAGGGACAAAAAUGUUGGGAAAAAAAGUGACAAAAUUAAGGGAAAAAAAAAAGUGAGAAAACUGUCCCAAAAAUUGAGAAAAAUGACCCAAAAAAAGGGACAGAAAGGUCCAGAAAAGUGACAGAAAUCACCAAAAAAGUGACAAAAGUCACCCAAAAAGAAGUGAGAAAAUUAUCCAAAAACAUGAAGAAAAUGUCCCAAAAAAUUGAGAAAAACGACCGGAAAAAAAGUGAGGGAAAUGUUGGGGGGAAAAGUGACAAAAUUAAGAAAAAAUAAGUGAGAAAAAUGUCCCCCAAAAAUUGAGAAAAAUGAAAAUGGCCUAAAAAUGUGAGGAAAAUGACUAAAAAAGGGCCAGAAAAGUCCAAAAAAGGGACAAAAAUGUCAAAAAAAAAAAAAAAGGCAAAAAAUGACCAAAAAUUGGGAUGAAAAGGCCCCAAAAAAGUGAAAAGAGCAGGAA